UACGUAGGGUGCAGGCGUUAAUCGGAAUUACUGGGCGUAAAGCGUGCGCAGGCGGUUUGCUAAGACAGGUGUGAAAUCCCCGGGCUUAACCUGGGAACUGCGCUUGUAACUGGCAAGCUAGAGUGUGGCAGAGGGGGGUGGAAUUCCAGGUGUAGCAGUGAAAUGCGUAGAGAUCUGGAGGAACACCGAUGGCGAAGGCGGCAUCCUGGACCGGCAUUGACGCUGAGGAGCGAAAGCCAGGGGAGCAAACGGG
rnacentral:rRNA from 1 species